rnacentral:rRNA from 1 species
AGCAGCCGCGGUAAUUCCAGCUCCAAUAGCGUAUAUUAAAGUUGUUGCAGUUAAAAAGCUCGUAGUUGAAUUUCGGGAUCAAAUUGUCGGUCGUGCCUCGGUACGCACUGGUAUUAUUGGUUCCUACCUUCUGAAGAACUGCGAUGUCAUUAAUUUGGUGUCGUGGGGAAUCAGGACUGUUACUUUGAAAAAAUUAGAGUGUUUAAAGCAGGCUUACGCUUGAAUACAUUAGCAUGGAAUAAUGAAAUAGGACGUUUGAUUCUAUUUUGUUGGUUUCUAGGAUUGACGUAAUGAUUAAUAGGGAUAGUUGGGGGGCAUUAGGUAUUCAAUUGUCAGAGGUGAAAUUCUUGGAUUUAUUGAAGACUAACUACUGCGAAAGCAUUUGCCAAGGAUGUUUUCAUUAAUCAAGAACGAAAGUUAGGGGAUCGAAGACGAUCAGAUACCGUCGUAGUCUUAACCAUAAACCUAUGCCGACUAGGGAUCGGAUGAUGUUAAUUUUUUAAUGACUCAUUCGGCGCCU